AAGUCGUAACAAGGUUUCCGUAGGUGAACCUGCGGAAGGAUCACUAGUGAUUGAAACGGGAAGCGUCUUAACUGACCUUCUCACCCUUCACAUCCACAUACGCCCUGUGAACUGUUUGGCUUCAACUCUCGAGUUGGGCUCUCCUAUCGAUAGAUUAGCAAUAGUCUAGCGAGAAGAGGGUUCGUCUCGAGAGCGGGAGUCAUCAUUUUUUAACAUACACAAAGUCUAAUGAAUGUAAACGUUUUUAUAUAAACAAAAUAAAAC
rnacentral:misc_RNA from 1 species